CCUGAUUUCCGUGUCCAACAUUUGACCGUCCGUCUUAUUUAAAAAAAUUAUAAAAAAUUAAAAAGACAAGUCACGCAUAAAAUAUUAAUCAUGUUUUAUUAUCUAACAGCAAUAAAAAUACAAAUUAUAAAAAAAAUCAUAUAAGACGGACAGUCAAAGUUGGACACGAAAAUCUAGAGUUUACCCUUUU
rnacentral:pre_miRNA from 1 species